rnacentral:lncRNA from 1 species
UUUGUGUUCGAUUCGGUUUACUUUGGUUUUGUUUGUGUCUGUUCAGUUCAGUCGAGUUGAUUUUUUAGUUUUUUCUAGUUUAAUUACAAAUAUAAUUUUAAAAACAUAAACAAAUCAUAUUUGACACCAAAUCAUUAUUUUUUAUAUUUAAAUGUAAAAGUAAAACAUCACAAAUAAAAAUGUAAAAGAUGUAAUAAAAUAAUUUUAUACUAUUAUUCUCAAACCUUAUAUAAAUAUCAAUAGUAAUUUUUGAGUUUUGAUGUUAAUGUAUGAGGUUCAUAUUUUUAUUGUAUUGUUAGUUGUGUUUAUUCUCUUUAUUUAGACGUAAAAUAUAUAAAUUUAUAUUUAGUUGUUUAGGUUAAAUAGUUAAAU